GACGAACCGUGCGAACGUUGUUCGGAAUCACUGGGCUUAAAGGGCGCGUAGGCGGCUUGCCAAGUCGGGGGUGAAAUCCGGCAGCUUAACUGUCGAAGUGCCUUCGAUACUGGCAAGCUAGAGGGAGGUAGGGGUCUGUGGAACUUCUGGUGGAGCGGUGAAAUGCGCAGAUAUCAGGAGGAACACCGGUGGCGAAGGCGGGUCUCUGGGCAACAACUGACGCUGAGGCACGAAAGCGUGGGGAGCAAACAGG
rnacentral:rRNA from 1 species